GCCCUUGUGGUGAAUCGGAUAUCAUAUCUGCCUUCGAAGCAGAGGUUCUAGGUUCGAAUCCUAGCGAGGGCAC
rnacentral:tRNA from 1 species